GAUGAACGCUGGCGGCGUGCCUAAUACAUGCAAGUCGAGCGAACGGACGAGAAGCUUGCUUCUCUGAUGUUAGCGGCUGACGUGUGAGUAACACGUGUAUAACCUACCUAUAAUACUGGUAUAACUUCGUGAAACCGGAUCUAAUACCGUAUGAUAUUUUGAACCGCAUGGUUCAAAAGUGAAUUACGGUCUUUCUUUCACUUAUAGAUUGUUCCGCGCUGCAUUAGCUAGUUGGUAAGGUAACGGCUUACCAAGGCAACGAUGCAUAGCCGACCUGAGAGGGUGAGCGGCCACACUGGAACUGAGACACGGACAAGACUCCGACGGGAGGAAGAAGUAGGGAAUAUUACGCAAUGGGCGAAAGAAUGACGGAGCAAAGCCGAGUGAGUGAUGAAGGUCUUCGGAUCGUAAAACUCUGUUAUUAGGGAAGAACAUAUGUGUAAGUAAAUGUGAACAUAGUGACGGUAACUAAUCAGAAAGCCACGGCUAACUACGUG
rnacentral:rRNA from 1 species